AUACGUAGGGGGCGAGCGUUGUUCGGAAUUACUGGGUGUAAAGGGCGUGUAGGCGGUGAUGUAAGUUAUCGGUAAAAACCCCAGGCUCAACUUGGGGCUUGCCGAUAAAACUGCAACACUUGAGUGCAGGAGAGGGAAGUGGAAUUCCCGGAGUAGCGGUGAAAUGCGUAGAUACCGGGGGGAACACCAGUGGCGAAGGCGGCUUCCUGGCCUGUAACUGACGCUGAGGCGCGAAAGCUGGGGUAGCAAACGGGAUUAGAUACCCCGGUAGUCCCAGCCGUAAACGAUGGUCACUAGGUGUGGGGUGUGGUCAAGCACUCCGUGCCGGAGCAAACGCAAUAAGUGACCCACCUGGGGAGUACGGCCGCAAGGUUGAA
rnacentral:rRNA from 1 species